AGAGAGGAAGAGCACAGGUAAAGGGCGGCAAAAGGAAGCAAGAAGCAGGAAUUAGAAUUCUGGUGAGCUUGGAAGAAGAGCAGAUGAUCAUUCAUGCAAUGAUUGGAAACUUAAUGGACAACAUUGACGUCUAUUGAACGAUGCAGUUUUUACAUAUUAUUGUGAUAUUGUUACUUGACAAAUUUUUGCACAUCAAAUAUCAUGUCAGAGUUCAAAGGUAAAGUUCCUUUUUAGUCUAAAUUAGGGACGAGAAGCCAAGCAACAUGUGACCUAAAAUAAAUUUGUUUUAUACACACAAACAUGACAAGUAGGAACAUAUUUAACAGAUGCUAAAGAUGCUAACAAAAUGGCAAGCCGUGUUUCAACUAGGCUACAUACGGCAGGUCACAAUGAGGUUUGGUUCAGUGGGUCAGGGGAGUUGUGGUUGUGAAACAAUGCCUGAUUUGUGCUACACACAGAUAAACGGGUCAAAGAGAAAGCGUUAAUGGGUACUUUUGUUUUAAAGGUUGUUCCUUUCUAAAAAUGAAGUUAGUUAGUAUGUGCUGAGUGUGUUGUUUCUAAGAGAAAAAAAAUGGCUCCAUCCUUCCUGAUAAUUUUUGUUAUUCUCACUGCAGUGGCCCGGCCAACACACUCAUCUACAUACCACAAAGAUCAGUAACGCUGAGAAACCUGAGAGAGCGGAGAAGUUAUGCAGAGGUGAGAGGGAGGGAGGCAGUGAGGGAUGUGAGUGAACAUGAAGGGUCAGAGAAGACCGAAGGAGAUUUCACAAAAGAAGGGAGAAAAUCCUUUCAUUCGGAAGAAAAAUUAAACCAGAAAAUGAGAAAAUGGUGAGAACAAAAACGUUAAUGCUAAGGGCUAAUCUUAAUCUUGACAAAUAUGUUUCCACUGUGCAUUAAUGUAGGAGUCUUCGUGGUUUUACUAGGCAUGUUGUGAUGUUUACAGAGAAAACUUCAAACAACUGAGGUUUAGACCCAGUCCUUACAUGGGCAGGUAUUUAAAAAGUGUUAUAUGUUUUGGGCUUUCGCACAUACCAGUGUUCACCAUCCUAAGGUCAAACGAAGGUACAACAUUCUUACUGUCAAUGUAGUACUGAAAUGUUAACACAUCCAGAUUUACCCUAACAUCUAAGUACUUUAUCUAAUUUAAUUAUAAUUUCAUAAAAAAUACCACAUACAGUACCAAUACCUCCAUUAACUUUUUUUACCCCUAAUUCUUUUUUCAGGUGAGGACAGUGUACAUCCUUGUCAGUUCACCAGUCCAGACAAACAGCAUUUAAACUUACAUCCACACCUAUGGUCAAUUUGCAGUGAACAAAAAACACAUAAUCCUGCAUGUUUACUGAUGUGGAAGAAAACUGAAGCACCCUGAAAAAAAACCCUCAUGACUAAUGCCAACUCUGGGCCACCUCACCACAAAAGAUUCAAACCAAUUGUUUCAGCACUACUAUAAAUGAGUACUCAGCCAGAGUCAUGGAGGCUCCCUGAGCUGAUGCCACAACACGGACGGUGCGACUGCUGUCGGAACACUCCAGGUGCGAAGAAGGACCGAGAUCCGAGGCCUUCAUGCCCAGGGUCUCCGGC